CCUACGGGAGGCUGCAGUGGGGAAUAUUGCACAAUGGGGGAAACCCUGAUGCAGCGACGCCGCGUGAGCGAUGAAGUAUCUCGGUAUGUAAAGCUCUAUCAGCAGGGAAGAAAAUGACGGUACCUGACUAAGAAGCCCCGGCUAACUACGUGCCAGCAGCCGCGGUAAUACGUAGGGGGCAAGCGUUAUCCGGAUUUACUGGGUGUAAAGGGAGCGUAGACGGCUGUGCAAGCCAGAUGUGAAAGCCCGGGGCUCAACCCCGGGACUGCAUUUGGAACUGUGUGGCUGGAGUGUCGGAGAGACAGGCGGAAUUCCUAGUGUAGCGGUGGAAUGCGUAGAUAUUAGGAGGAACGCCAGUGGCGAAGGCGGCCUGCUGGACGAUGACUGACGUUGAGGCUGGAAAGCGUGGGGAGCAAACAGGAUUAGAUACACGAGUAGUC
rnacentral:rRNA from 1 species